rnacentral:rRNA from 1 species
UACAGAGGUCCCAAGCGUUGUUCAGAUUCACUGGGCGUAAAGGGUGCGUAGGCGGUCGGGUAAGUCUGACGUGAAAUCCCGCAGCUUAACUGCGGAACUGCGUCGGAUACUAUUCGGCUUGAGGAAUGGAGGGGAGACUGGAAUUCUCGGUGUAGCAGUGAAAUGCGUAGAUAUCGAGAGGAACACCAGUGGCGAAGGCGACUUCCUGGCCUGUUCUUGACGCUGAGGCGCGAAAGCUAGGGGAGCAAACGGG